ACACCAUUGGGACCGUCGGUCUACCGAGCAAUAUCACCCGCUCGAUAGAAGAUGUUCUCUCCGUUGU
rnacentral:pre_miRNA from 1 species